rnacentral:lncRNA from 1 species
CUCUCUUCUCUACCACCGUGUAAGAUAUGCAUUUUGCCUUCUGCCAUGACUGUGAGGCCUCCCCAGCCUUGGGGAACUGUGAGUCUGUUAAACUUCUUUUUCUUUCUUUCUUUUUUUUUUUUGUUUUUUGAGAGGCGGAGUUUAGAUCUUGUCACCCAAGCUGGAGUGCAGUGGCACGAUCUCGGCUCACUGCAGCCUCUGCUUCCUGGGUUCAAGCGAUUCUCCUGCCUCAGCCUCUGGAGCAGCUGGGAUUACAGGCGUGCCACUGUGCCUGGCUAAUUUUUGUAUUUUUAGUAGAGAUGGGGUUUCACCAUAUUGGCCAGGCUAGUCUUGAACUCCUGACCUCAGGUGAUCCACUCGCCUCAGCCUCCCAAAGUGCUGGGAUUACAGGUGUGAGCUACUGUGCUGGCAUCACUUUUUCUUCAUAAAUUACCUAGUCUUGGGCAUGUCUUUAUCAGUAGCAUGAAAACGGAUGAAUACACAGCUUUUUCUCACUUUCCUAUAUCUGUCAUAUUUCAGAGGGGAUAGUUUAUACUCUAUGUGUUGAAUAAAGAACCUAUAUAUUUCUGGUCAUUUGUAAGUAAAAGUCAGUGUUAAUUUAAAUGAAAAUAUAAAGAUUUCUUCAUUUUUAAACAUUCUAUUGUGCUAUGUGAUAUAUGUAAAGAAAAAUCCAUAAAGCUUAUAUGCAGUUAUAUGUUUUAACAAUAUUUCUCUGUGAACCCACAGAGAACUUCAUUUUCUAGUUAUUAUGGUCCUUACCAGAAGGUGUCAAGAAAGAGAAAUUUAUUUCUUCAAUAAAAAACGAUAUCAACACUCCCCGCCCCCAACAAAAGAAAGCAAACACACUUAAAGAAUUUCCAGUUGCACUUAGGAUGCUGAAGACUCUCAACCUAUAAUUGAGAACAACCUAAAAAAUUGACAAAAUCAUAUAUUUUUGGGACCCAUCAGAGAACAGAGUUUGCAAGAUAUACAGAUGAACUGAAUUCCAAAUGAUGAUAAGCCCCUACAAGGAGGGGUGGGACACAAAAAUCAUUCUGCCUUUGGAAUAGCAAGGCAGGGUCAGUAAAAGCCAUAAAAGCAGGUGAGAAGAAAGUAAGUGACAUUGUAAGGAAUCAUAAGUGUAGGCUAGUGUGACAAUUUAGAAGCCUGAGACCCCAGGCACAAGGGCACUGGUUCCACCCACCAGCUUUUGCCACAGGCCUCCACCUAGUAUUUAUGAGAAGGACUGGUGGGGGGUUGUGGGGAGAGCAAAAGAUUCAAGAGAGAUCUCCCUCUCCCUUAGUGAGCAGAGCCACUAAAACCUAUCCCUUUCCUGAACAAGCACUUUUCUCAUCUAAGCAAAAGUCACCUGCACUGCAAGAACACCCUGGAAAUCUCUGUUGCAGGCAGAUGUCACCUGUGGCCAGGGGAGGAGUAGAAGCAAAAAUCAUCUGCUUAUGAGAAGUGGCAGAGCACCUGUUGUACCUAAUUCUGCAGUGAUGCUAAACAAAGAGCUGCUGCCAGAGGAGAAAUGGGAAACAUGUCUACCCAAGACCUUUUCUCACUAUGUAAGACAGAUUUUAGGUGCCAUGGAAUGAGUGAGAAAGCUCCAUCCAUGAGACUAAUUACUCAUGGCCUGCUUGUGUCUGAAUCUGGAGCAUAAGAACCUAAAAACUCCACCUUUUAACACCAAGAAUCUGCACUAAUAACAAAUGAUAGUAAUUUGCUAGGGGAAAGGCAAAAGUAUGGAGAGAGACUUCUGUGUGGAAUGUCUGUGCAGGACCUGCCGAAAGCAGAGAAACAAAUAUUUAGAAAAAAUCUUCAGAUAAUCCAGGCAUCACACUAAGUACAAGGUAGCAGCAGCUCACAACUGGAGAAAUUUUCAGUUUUCAAUGCACUAAAGGUAAGUAUAACAACAAAAAAUCCAAAACACAUCCUAACUCCUGAAUAGAUGGACUUAUUCCCCUAUGGCGAGAGUUAAGAAAAGCAGAGGAAUGACCACAUUUGAGUGUAUAUACAAUUUACCUCAAUAUCUAAAUAAUCACCACUUAAUUUAAAAGUUAUGGCUCUCUAAAAAGCAAAAAAAAAGUACUAUUUUCAAGAGCUAAAACAAUCAACUGAACUAGACUUAGAGAUAGUCUAGAUAGGCACAUUAAAAUACCUAUACCUAAUACGUCAAUGGCUCUAUUUGGCAAGUUGGGCAUCAUGCAGCAAUACAUGGAAAACUUAAGCAAGAAGAUGGAAAUUAUAAACAAAAGCUUUUUAAAAAAUCCUACACUAUCACAGAUAAAGAAUUCUUUUCAUGAGAUUAUCAUUACACUUUACAUAACUGAUUCCAGAAGGGCUAAGCUUAAAGAUGGGUCAAUAGAAAUGGGUCAAUCAUUUCAUGGUUAAUAGAAAUGGUUAGUCAUUUCAUGAAAUAAUCUUACAUCAAACACAAAGUGAAAACUGAAUGAAAAAAAAAUACAACAGAGCACCUAUGAGCUGUGGAACACUGUUAAAUUGAUUAACUCAUAUUUACUUGUUGUUCCACCAGGAGAAAGGUACAAAAAUGGAAAAAGAAUAUUUUGAGCAAAGGCUAAGUACAAAGAAAAACAGACCUGAGCACACAAGAGUCAAACUAAAAUCAACAACAACAACAAAAAACAAAUAUGGAGAAAAAAGUCUUGAAGGUAGCCGGGGAAGAAGAAAACAUUACAUGCAGGACAAUAAGAACUAAAAUGAAAGCAGGUUUCUUGUCAGAAACACAGCUAUGUAAACCAGAAAACAAUGGAGUGAUAUCUUUAAAGUUCUGUAGGAAUAAAGAUGAAAUACUCUCACUCUAGAAAUUUAUACCCAGAAGAAAUACAAAAUGCCAACACCACAGAAGUUAUCACCUCCCUUCCCAGACCACAUCACCUUUCCCUGCUAAGGUAACCACAAUACUAACAUUUAUGAAAAUAUACUCUUAAUUUUCUUCAUAGUUGUGCACCUAUGCAUUCACCUAAAGUUUAAAUCUAAUCAUUCUAUUCUUGUUAUAUAUUUUUGCUCAAUAUUAUGUUUAUAGGAAUCAUUGGCAUCAUAAUGUGCAACUCUAUCGAUCUUCAUUUUAAUCUCCGUGUACCUUUCCAUGACAUUAUAAUUUCUCACAAUUUAUUAUACAUUCUUAAAUUAAGGGAGAUCUCUUCUGUGGUUUCUCUAGCUAGGCCUCUGUGACAACUCUUUCUUGAUUCACCACUUAUUUUUCUGAUGACUAUGGCUGAGAAAUUUGGUUACAUGAAGACAUUCUCAAAAUUAUCAUCUAGGACCAGCCAUUUUCUGGAGCAAGACAUGAAGUCAUUUUUACUUGGGCCCAGCAUUGUUUAACAUACAGAUAGGAAAGUACAUCUGGUACAAGUGUUAUUCAACACAGGAAAAGCGGGUUAUGUUAAUGUGAGUUCUCAGACGCUAGACAUUUUAAGAUAAACUGUUAUUUACAAUUAAAACUCAAUGCAUUUGUGUCAGGUUUAUUUUGCCUGGUAACAAAAUGCAGGUACUCAGUAACGUUUUUAUUAAUAAUGUUAACCAUUUUAUAUUAAACACACUUUCUUAUCUGAAAAAAUAAGAACUCAGAUGAAAGAUAAUAAUGAAACGCUUAGUAUUAUAUAGUGAGUGCUUGGGCAUUUUAACUUCACAGCUGACUGAAAAUAUCAGUAUGGAAAAGGUACAAUAUGCUACAGAUACGGCUUUUAAUUUUGAGCAAGGAUGUGACAAAUUGCAUGAACAGCUAUGCCUUGUAUUUUGGAAGAUCAUCUAUUACAUAACAUCAAUAAUUUUGACACCUUGAACAUCAGCUUUUCUUCUGAAAUUGGAAGCAUGUUUAAAGAUUUCUAA